GCUUCGCUCGAGUUCAGACGAGAAGACGAGACCUUCGCGAACUGCUAGGGAUUCCGCCAUUGAAGCCGAGCCCAAGCGAGCUCGCUUCGCGAAGCCAGCGACGAGAGAACCCCUCGACCGUCUCCGCAAACGCCGGCGAUUGAGGCCUCCGAUUUAUCGCCUGCCCAUGGGGCAUCAGGCAUCGGCGUUUAGCUUCCGGGAGCCUCGGCCCGGCGGCUUCCUCUUCUCGGGCGUCGUCCGCGAUCGACUGAGGAACGAUCUCGUGCGCUUGAAAGACAAAGGAAUUCCGGGUUUUCCAGAUCAACCUGAGUAUGCCCACGAAAGAUCUCGCCCCAGAGCAUCAGAUCCCUCGAUAACUUUGGUCCACUCGCACAGGGUAAAAAGAUGUUCCACCCUUUCCAGGGCUUUUCGGCAUAGGGGACAAAUCGGAUCAGGCAUCAUGUUCCGUUUGGGCAGGUUUUCUUUUGUGGGUAGUGGCAUUCUGACACGCACUCCACGUGAAGAAACGUAGCUUUGGAUAGGAAUUCAACUGCCAAACGAUAGACCAAAGCGCGCAGGGUGGCUUAGAUUAAUGGCUUGACCCGAGGCAAAACAGUAUUGGCUGGUAGAAACGUACCUUUGGAUAGUAAUUUACCUGCCAAACGUGCCUUUUGAAGUUUAGUGUGUGCGGCUGGAACCAAUUACGAGUUACUAUGUUUGGCGUUGGUUUUCACCUUGCUUGGGCCAUCUUCUGGGUCAGCCAAAUUUUAGGGUGUCUUAGUACUUCCAGAAAAAAUUUAUUUUGAAAACAAGCUCGCUGAAACCAGAGUUCAGUAAAGAAAGAGAUGACAGUGACCAAAUUCGACACGCGAGAUGCCCCGUAUGGGGACAACAAUGACUGUUCUGCUAUAGGCAAGCUUUUCAUUGACGUGUAGGGGUCGUUAUGUUGCUGAAUGAGUCUGUAGAUUAGUCGAGUAAGUUAUUUACUCAAUUUUUUCAUAUCUGUUUCUUGUUUAAUUGGUAGAAUUUUGAGUUUGGGCUCACGUUGUCUUUGUUUCUUAGUUUUGGUAAUUUCCUUGUUUCUUCUGCAAUUCUUUCUUGCUCUCUUGUUUUGUUUUAUAUGUCUUUUCCUUUUCACCAUGAGUUGUGCGUUUUUAGGGUGUAAUCUCCAGGUAGUCGGCCCUCAGAGUGCACGUGUUUGGUGUACCCUUAUUAUAAUUCUGAACUUCAAAUUGUGAUUCCAUGGGUUAAUGUUAUGAUAUUUGGUUGCUUUCGUUGGAUAUGAGUUAGCAAGUAGGAAAUUCUGUGACUUUUGGUUUUAGUUCCUCCUGUGGUUGGACUUUGUUACCCUUUGCAUUUGGUUUGCACAUUUCAUUGGAUCAAUAGAUUAAGUUUUGAUGCUUUAGCUGGAAUACUGAGGCAAAAGAAAAUUAAAAGAAAUUGAGACGAGAGAUGAGAAUAAUAUGAUUGAGAGAGCGGAUAUGAACGAGGAGAAGAAGAAGAAGAAGAAGAAGAAGAAGAAGAAGAAGGUAUUUGUCACGAGAAUGUAACAUAUUGGUCGUGGUGUACUUAUGGAGCAUGUUUGAUAUCCCAGAUGGACUCAGGCCUAACAGUUUGAGCAUUCAGGAUAAAAGGAUGUUUAAUACUGUGUCGCAGUUUCAAUGCAAGAGCUGCAAUCCUAACUAUACAUCUUAUAGAUGUUCUGCAUGUCAUACUUGUCAUUGCCAUCCUGCUUUCUGAAUUAUCCUGAAAUUCAUGCAAGCCUCAACUUACAGACAAAGCAGAUUAUGAAGGAAUAUGCUUCAUACACCUGUCCACUGACAACUUCAGAUUCUAACUUCGCUAACUAACUCUUUUCCCACCCGCUGACAUCUCUAUAACUCAAGUUCCUGCUCGUCUCUAGCUCCUGUGUUCGGCUCACAGCAAAUUCUUUACCUUUUUCUCUUCACUUGUGUAGUCACAGGAGGACCAGCUGCGAUUGUUAAGCAGUUCAUCCUCUUCUGAGGAUGGCCUGAGCAGGAGGUUGGGAGGGAGGUUGAAUGAGUCUUUUCCACAUGGUUAUGUUGCUUCACUUUGGAAGUUAGAGUCUUUAGUUUUGCAGAGCUAAAAGUUGCAACAAGAAGCUUCAGAUCUGAUACAAUUCUCAGCAAUGGUGGUUUUGGUAGUCUUGAAAGACUGCCUUGAUGAGAAGGGGUCUUCCCAGAGCAAAAGAAUGACUACAAUUGCCAUUAAAAAAAAAAAAUGAAAUGAACCCAGAGAGCAUGCAAGGAUUCAAAGAGUGGAAGUUGGAGUUGAACUUCCUGGGCAGCAAAUCUCAUCCAGAGGAUUGUCAGGCUGAUGGGAUGUUGUUUGGAGUAUGAACUUGCCAGAGGGUACCCUAAAGAACCAUCUCUUUGGAAGGGGCUUGGCCAUUAAACCACUUCCAUGGGUCACACUGCUGAACUUAAAUUUGCAAUAGGAGCAGCCAAAGGCCUUGCGUUCUUGCACCAGUUAGACAGGCAAAUAAUCUGCAGAGAAGCCCUAAACAUAUUGGUGGACUUAGUAAGUUCCAUGUUCAUUGCUUAGAUUAAAUGAAGCAAUACCACAUUGUUGUUACCUAUAAAAUUUGGUUCCAAAAUCUUCUCCUGUGCUGAAAUAAUUCAAAUAUGUUUGCAACAUCCUUGUUUUGCAAUCUCCUCCUGCCAUUCUGGAAGCAUCAAGAAUUGGAAACCUUAUGCUUUCAGGCUUUCAUUCUGGUCAGUUUUUCACAUAAAACACAGGAGUUAUCAUUGCAAAGCAUCUUCAAACCUGGUUCGCCAGCCAUGUAUCUUUUACUUAUUUUUUGGUUGGGGGCUUGUUAUAGUCGCGCAUUUUCCCAAGCUACUCUUUUUGUAGUUAGUUUAUGAUACAAUCAUUGGCUCAAGCUAAGUUCACUAUCUCUGUAUUGUCCUAAGUAUACUCAUGUAUAGAUCACACUAGCAGUAGAAAAGAGACCCUAUCCAUUUUGACCUUUUCUUUGGCAUUUGUUUCAACAGUUCUAUAACUGCUAAAAUAUCAGAUUUUGGGUUGGCAAUAAAGGGUCCAGAUGAAGACAAGAUCACAUGCGACGACACAGGUUACUGGAACUUAUGGCUACACUGCACCCGAGUAUGUAGCCACAGGUAAUAUGAUGGGCUUUCUGAGUGCUUGGGGCGAUCAUAGCAGAGAACAUUGCGUUUUGGACUUAGUUUGAUCAUUCAUGAUGCCAUGUUUAGCAAAUUCAUGUUAGAGCACUUGCCAUCGAUGAACGAAGUCAUGGAAACUGGGGGAAAAAUUAGUUGCAACUGAUGUGAAACACUGUUUCCUAGAUGAUUGAACCCAACUCGACCGUCUUUCUUGGACAUGGUUUUUUUUAUCCAUCACCUCUGUUCAUUGCUGAUUCA